AGCAAAGAAAGUUGCAGUUCAUAUUAUAAUUCACUCUUUAAAUGUUUGAACAACCGGAAGAAGCGAACUAGAAGACUCCUCCUCCUGAUUGACUAAUGGUAGGACCAACAAAUCAGCUUACAUAAGAUUAGGCUUGCAACUGGACGGAAGAUAGCAUUUAGGAUCCAAAUUAGAUCACAACCUCACAAAGACCCGAUAAUAAAAUGGAUGGUAGAUUCAACUAUUAAUUUCAUUAUAUAAUUCUUGAAUUACAGUAGAUUUGAUAGAUUAGGUUCACAGUUGCUUUAGAACAAAGCACUUUUACAUCGCUUAGUUCGAACAACUCAUCUCAAGUGUGCCAUAAAAUCUGGAGGAGCCUAUUACUUGCUCUAUUGGGUUCCUUUCUCAAAUAGAUUAAUCUUGGCCAAGGAUAAGCUAUUUCUUCUAGGAAAGAAAAUUGCUCAUCCCACAUUAUAACGCAAUGUUUAAUGAUGAUUUCAUUGUAUGAGACUCGAGAUACAGGAGAUGUUUGGAAGGUCGAGUUUGAGCCUUCCGUUCCCAAAUCAGAAAGCCAAGUAUUAUAGAGAGCUGGAAGCUGCUGUUGAUGUUGUCAAGCAAGCUUGUCGUCUCUGAGUUGAUGUGAAGAAGUCGUCGUUCUCAUGUGAUAGUAGGAUUCUUGAGAAAAUUGACCAGACCCCAGUCACUAUUGCAGAUUUUGGAGUGAAGGCUUUAGUUAGCUUGGAUCCAAUUCCUCUAUCGUCGACCACUACAAUAAAAGCAUACUUCAUUGACUCAGAACAUGAACCACAAAAAUAAG